AUUGAACGCUGGCGGCAGGCCUACCACAUGCAAGUCGAACGAGUGGCGGACGGGUGAGUAAUGUCUGGGAACCUGCCCGAUGGAGGGGGAUAACUACUGGAACCGGUAGCUAAUACCGCAUACCAUCGGAUGUGCCCAGAUGGGAUGAGCUAGUAGGGGGGGUAACGGCUCACCUAGGCGACGGUCCCUAGCUGGGCUGAGAGGAUGACCAGCCACACUGGAACUGAGACACGGUCCAGACUCGUACGGGAGGCAGCAGUGGGGAAUAUUGCACAAUGGGCGCAAGCCUGAUGCAGCCAUGCCGCGUGUAUGAAGAAGGCCUUCGGGUUGUAAAGUACUUUCAGCGAGGAGGCGGUACUCGCAGAGGAAGCGUCGGCUAACUCCGGGCCAGCAGCCGCGGUAAUAC
rnacentral:rRNA from 1 species